UGGGGAAUAUUGCACAAUGGGCGCAAGCCUGAUGCAGCCAUGCCGCGUGUGUGAAGAAGGCCUUCGGGUUGUAAAGCACUUUCAGCGAGGAGGAAGGCAUUAAGGUUAAUAACCUUAGUGAUUGACGUUACUCGCAGAAGAAGCACCGGCUAACUCCGUGCCAGCAGCCGCGGUAAUACGGAGGGUGCAAGCGUUAAUCGGAAUUACUGAGCGUAAAGCGCACGCAGGCGGUUUGUUAAGUCAGAUGUGAAAUCCCCGAGCUUAACUUGGGAACUGCAUUUGAAACUGGCAAGCUAGAGUCUUGUAGAGGGGGGUAGAAUUCCAGGUGUAGCGGUGAAAUGCGUAGAGAUCUGGAGGAAUACCGGUGGCGAAGGCGGCCCCCUGGACAAAGACUGACGCUCAGGUGCGAAAGCGU
rnacentral:rRNA from 1 species